AAUGCAGCAACCACCAGCGGAUCCUCGCGUGGGCGAGGUC
rnacentral:SRP_RNA from 14 species